GCCGGGACAGUGGCAUGUGCCUGUAGUCCCAGCUACUCCAGAGGCUGAGGUGGGAGGAUCUCUUGAGCCCAGGAGUUCUGGGCUGUAGUGCGCUAUGCCGAUCAGGUGUCCACACUAAGUUUAGCAUCAAUAUGGUGACGUUCCGGGAGCAGGGGCAACCUCCAGGUUGCAUAAGGACUGGUGAACUGGCCCAGGUCAAAAACGGAGCAGGUCAAAACUCCCGUGCUGAUCAGUAGUGGGAUCAGGCCUGUGAAUAGCCACUGCACUCCAGCCUGGGCAACAUAGUGAGACCCCAUCUCU
rnacentral:SRP_RNA from 1 species